rfam:Pelodiscus sinensis unplaced genomic scaffold scaffold49, whole genome shotgun sequence.
CCAAAGGCUCUUUUCAGAGCCGCCCACCUAUUCCGUAAAAGAGCUU